UGCGCUGGCAACAAGUAAACAAAGCCAGCUGACCCUCGCCGCCACCUCAAGGCCUCACUGACAGCUCGUCACAGCCACAGUCCCCCCCACACACACUGCACCAUGGCCGUGACUUCGUCAGACUUUAAAAUGGCAGACCUUUGUGUUCCGUCAGAGGCAAAAGAACAGGAGAAUCCGGUGCAGGCUGAAGACGGCCGCUGCAGAAGCCAGAAAAGGCCACGGCGGAUCCUCCACUUCUCUGAUGGUAUCAUGGAGGAGUACAGCACAGAUGAGGAGGAGGAAGAGGAAAAGAAGCAGCUGAAUCCCAACCAGAUGCGUAUAGUUGAUCCGAAGACCAUGAAGUGGGGGCCGUGGCUGUACUACUGGAUGGCAUACAGUGGAAGUUCAGCUCUGUCUUUCUGUGACUAUGUAGGGGAGAGUUUGGCAAAUACUCUUGGCAUAACUUCACCCAAGUACCAGUAUGAGUUAGAUGAAUACAAUGCAGCACUUGAAGAGGAGAAAGCUGAAAAGGAGCGGGAGAAAGCAGAGAUGGCUGGUUGGACCACCACAGCUGCAGCCGAGCCAAGUGAUGGCAUAAGGCAUAAAAUAAUGGACACAUCAGUGUUACAAGAACCAACGCCGCCUCAACCUCUGGACCAGGCACAGCACUUGUAAGCCAACACAAUGCAGAUCAUGUAUGGGCAAGCUCUUCAACUCCUCACUAUUGCUGAAACACUUCAUACAGGAGAGCUGUGAAUCAGAGGUUCCUUCUCCAGACACUUCAUCAUCUUCAGUGCAAAGUGAAGAUGGCAACUCAAGAAACUGGGACAGGUUCUGAAGGCUGAUAGACAUAAUGAUCAUACAAUUGGUAUACACAUAAGUCUGCCACUUGCUACACUAGUGAUCAUUGUAAUUUGUGAUGUCAUAAAUUAUUCCACUGGAUGUAGCACAAGCAUGCAGUGUCACAUUUUCUUUCAAGGAUGUGGAAAGAAAAUGUGAAAAGAAUGUUGUUAAUUGCAUUUAUUUACUUGAGAAUCUGACGUGUGUAUGCCAUGUUUUUAAGACUUAGUCUAAAUAACUAUAAAUAACCAAAGUGGUUUGAUACAGAUGAAGUCAAGACAGGCAAGGUUCAGUCUUUCAUUUGUUCUUAAUUGUAUCAAUUUGAAUCACAUGAUGCAAUGUGACAUCACUAAAGUUAUGUGAGAAAGAGAGAAUCCUCAAAAGGGUUGAAAGUUUUCUUAGUAGUAGUGAGAUUUAGGACAAGAAGGGAAAACUGAGGAGAAGAGAAUUAAAGAUGUAAAGCACUGUAAUGGACAAGGGUGGCAGUAAUCUUUAUUAACAGAUACAUGGAGCUGAAAAAUGAAAUAGUAUUAUGAAAUCAAUUUGUAUCAAGUCCAAAUGGCUGAUGGACUGUGAUGCUUAGGAUUGAAAAGUAGGUCAGACUUAUUUACACUCAGUUCUGUAAUUUGGAGGGGAUAAAAUAAAGUUGUAUACAAUGUGGUCAAUUGAGAUGAAAUAAUUACAUAUAUGAGGGAAAAUGAGUUGUGGUACCAUAACAUGGAAUUCUCAUUGUGGCAGAUAAAUUAUUAUAACAACCACUCCCCUAACAAAUGCUGUAUGUUCCCAUGCUACUCAAAACUUUUUUGAAUCAGCUAUUUCCUUAGUAAUCUGAAAACUUUUGAUAUGAACAUAUGAAAAUAUGAAAAUGGCAGAAUGGUAUGUCAAACAGGAUUAGUAUAUUGAAGGCUGAUAUGGUGGAAAUGUCAAAGUUAGACACCUGGAGAUGGUCAUCUAAAGGAAAUGACUGAGAUCGAGAAGAUAAACUUGUUGUGGACAUGAGAGAGAGAGAGAGAGAGAGAGAGAGAGAGAGAGAGAGAGAGAGAGAGAUGUGAUGUUUGACAAAACAUAUGUCAUCAGACUUUCUGCCAAGGCCCUUGCUUGAAGCCAUCACACCAUGAAAAGAAUCACAUAAUAGAAUCCCAAUAGUGUUUCAUAACUUGUACUGUGAGGAUUUGUCUCAUACAUAACUAUUAGUGUUAGGUUUGCCAGGUUAGCCGUUCAGUUUGUUCUCUAAUCAAAAGUAGCUAACCUUAAGGUUUAAAACAGUGACAUUGUUAAUGGUGAGUGAAAUGUGUAGAUAUUGUGUCUAUAGUUCAAAACGAAGUGAAAUAGUAUAUUUUAUAUGAAAAUAUUAUUUAUGGCAUAAAAUAGAUAAUGAAAAUAUAUACUAUAUAUAAACUGACUAAUGAUUAUUUCUAUGAUUCAUAUAUAUAUCCUUUGUUAUUAUUAGCAUAUCUAGUCAGUAACAAUAUACUUCUAGAUCCUUUAUUAUGUAACUCUUUGACUCCUGAAGCUUCUCCACAAUCUCAGUGAAAUGGUUGUGGUGUAAGUCUAGAGCAUAAUCUGGAAAGAAAAGUGACAUUGAAAGGAACAAUCAAGUACUGACUCAAAUCUUAGGAUGUGAAUAGUUCAAUUUUUGUUUGAGUGAAAUUGUUUAGCCUUACUUAUGUGACAAAUAAUGUCAUGUUGUUGGAAGCAGUCAAAGGGUUCAUGACUAUCCCAGACUGUUUGUUCAGUUAAAGGUAAUCUCAUAAGCAGAUCUUAGUCUUGUGCUGCAUACAUAAGAAUGAUGAAGCUAUCAAGCACAUCUAACCUAAUUGUGUGAGAUCUCUCAUAUGUAUCUUGAGUGUUGAGGAAAAAGCACAUUUCUAUGCAUAGAAAGAAACUAAAUUUGUUGUGUAUUUUCUUAAAAUGUGAUCAUUAUACAUUAUUGUCUCAUACUUUAUUUAUUGGUCAUGUCCCACAUCCAGUUAUGAGCAAGUAAGUCUUAAUUGCUUAUUCACGAGUUGUGUAUAUCACACACAGGAGAAAGCAGAUCUUGGCAUCAUGUCACCGUCCAGCUUUAUGUGAUAUACAGUGUUGGGGAAAAUAAUGUAAUCAUUAUUUAAAGUGCUGUGUUAUCAAUUUGCUGCAGUGAUCUAAUUCUGUGAUAUUCAUAAAGUUAUUUUUCAAUUUUAUGUCAACUGGUCUUAACUGCCAAACAUGUUGAAUAGCUACAUGUUUAGCAUUUUGUUAAUAUUAUGCAAGUCUAUAUUAUAUGUAAACUCUUCAUCAGUAUAGCAGGAUGAAACACUUUGGCUGCACUGGUUCUAAUGUGGCUGCCAGUGUGCUAUGUUCCACUUUACACCUUCAUAGAAACACCUGAUAUGAAGGUGGACAUUAUUAUUAGGUAUCAAACUCUGGCAUGAUACUCAAAGGUAAAUGUAAGUCCAGCACACCACCAACUGAACCAAGGCAAUCACCAUGGGUCAGGUGGCUGUGCAGUCUUUCACUCUGGGAGUAUCAUAGAAACCUGAACCUUGUCUCUGAGACUAACACUUAUUCACUGAUUUGUUGUUUGUUAUGAAUAUACUCGGUCAUCUGUCCAUUCUUAAUAUUUCAGACGAAAGAUGAAGUUACUAUAGGUUUAGGUGACUGAACAAAAGAAAAGAACCAGAUUUUAGUAGUAGUGUUAUAUUGGAUUUUUUGCUUUAAGAAGUGAUUAUGAUAGUAGUGAGUUGUGAUGUAUGAAAGUAUAUCCUAUAUGUAGAGUUGUUAUUUUAAUGCACAAGUAUUGUUAUCCUCAUAAUGAAAUAAUGAUGUGCAGUAAUUUUGUGUUCCAAUAUUAUAUUAUGCAAAUUUUACAUAAAGUUUAUACAUCAAUGAAUUAUUUUUGUAGUAGAUAAGGAGCACAAAAUAUAUUUGAUAUGCAUUA
rnacentral:misc_RNA from 1 species